rnacentral:tRNA from 1 species
CGGGGCCUACUCAAGGCGCCUGGGGGUCAAGGGGUCGCGGGUUCAAAUCCCGCCGUCCCGA